rnacentral:rRNA from 1 species
CACGUAGGGCGCAAGCGUUGUCCGGAAUUAUUGGGCGUAAAGAGCUCGUAGGCGGUCUGUUGCGCCCGCUGUGAAAGCCCGGGGCUUAACCCCUGGCUUGCAGUGGAUACGGACAGACUAGAGGUAGGUAGGGGAGAAUGGAAUUCCCGGUGUAGCGGUGAAAUGCGCAGAUAUCGGGAGGAACACCGGUGGCGAAGGCGGGUCUCUGGGCCGAUACUGACACUGAGGAGCGAAAGCGUGGGGAGCGAACAGG